GACGAACGCUGGCGGCGUGCUUAACACAUGCAAGUCGAGCGGUAAGGCCCUUUCGGGGGUACACGAGCGGCGAACGGGUGAGUAACACGUGGGUGACCUGCCCUCAGCUCUGGGAUAAGCCUGGGAAACUGGGUCUAAUACUGGAUAUGACUCCACGGUGCAUGUCGUGGGGUGGAAAGCCUUGUGCGGCUGAGGAUGGGCCCGCGGCCUAUCAGCUUGUUGGUGGGGUGAGGCCUACCAAGGCGACGACGGGUAGCCGGCCUGAGAGGCGACCGGCCACACUGGGACUGAGACACGGCCCAGACUCCUACGGGAGGCAGCAGUGGGGAAUCUUGCGCAAUGGGCGAAAGCCUGACGCAGCGACGCCGCGU
rnacentral:rRNA from 1 species